AUCGUUGGAGUAAAAAAUGACAAAACAAGCUGUCUUCCUUCUGGCAUAUCACAAGAAGGCAGGGAUCUUUGGAAAAGACAAUAAUGAUGGGGAAAAUGGAAGGCAACUGGAAAAGAGGAGACCAAAUGUGAGAUGGACUGAUCCAUAGAAGAAGCCAUAGGUGUGAGUCUACAAGAGCUGAGCAGAGCUGUUGAGGACAAGACAUUGUGGACAUCACUUGAUUCACGGGGUCAUCAGGAAUCUGAGUUAGCUCAAUGGCAGAUUUCUCCACACACAUACACAUAUUAGACUGCUGCUGAAUACUCCACAGUUUAAUGGAAAGAGGGAUCAUUUGGCCAAUGUUGGAUAUUUGCUGAAUACUGCCAAGGUACUCUACCCAGACUGGAAUUUAACAGUGUGUACACACACCUCAGCACUUGCUGGUCCUGCUGGAGUGAGCUGCAGGGAACAGACUGCACAGCCUUGCAGACCUGCCCGGGGUGCCUGGGCAGAGCUCCCACUGGCACCAUCUGGAUGGAAGAGGAACACUAACAAUGGUGCACCUUCAAUCCCAGAGAGUUCCCUCAGAUUCCAGGGAGCUCUCACAGUUCCCAACCUUGUCUCUUUGAUCUUUCUCUCUUGUUUGUUGUGAAGAAGCUGUUCAAUUGCCCUCAGUUGUCUCUUGGGAGGAAAUGCUGUAAAUAUAGGUGCAUCUUUGAUGUGUUCAUGGCAGGGGCCAGUUCCGAGUCCUCCUCUGCCACCUUUGUGCGCCUGCCUCUCCAAAAACACAUUGUUUUUAAAAGUAGCUAUU